GUGUUCCUUUCAGCAAUACAUAUACUAGAAUUAGAAAGAUACAGAGCUUAGCACAGUCCCUGUGAAAGAAUGACAUACAAAUCUGUGAAACACUUCUUAUUUAA